rnacentral:rRNA from 1 species
AUUGAACGCUGGCGGCAUGCUUUACACAUGCAAGUCGAGCGGCAGCGCGGGGGCAACCCUGGCGGCGAGCGGCGAACGGGUGAGUAAUGCAUCGGAACGUACCCUGGAGUGGGGGAUAACGCCGCGAAAGCGGCGCUAAAUACCGCAUAUGCUCUGAGGAGGAAAGUGGGGGACCGCAAGGCCUCACGCUCUGGGAGCGGCCGAUGUCCGAUUAGCUAGUUGGUGAGGUAAAGGCUUACCAAGGCGACGAUCGGUAGCUGGUCUGAGAGGAUGAUCAGCCACACUGGGACUGAGACACGGCCCAGACUCCUACGGGAGGCAGCAGUGGGGAAUUUUGGACAAUGGGGGCAACCCUGAUCCAGCCAUGCCGCGUGAGUGAAGAAGGCC